UAUAUAUGGGAACCUGCUCUACCAACUGAGCUAACCGGGCGCCCAUCAAUCAUCUUUCCUGUGCUGCUGAAUGGUUCCUCACAAAUUUAGGCAGUAGGACUGGUUUGAUGACACAGAGCCAGUCAGAGUUUUCAUGGUGGAGAUACAGGCAGAGCAGCUGUGGGACGUCCCACGUCUCCUCUAAACCUUUCUGCCAAUCAGAUUUGGCUCGUUGAAAUGUGAUUUCAGAGAAAUGACUCAGAGGACUUAAAGCUGAGACAGACUGAGCACGCUCAGUAGCUGCUUCACCUGCAUCACCUCACACAGCUGACAGACACACAGGAUCACAUGGUGCAGAGGCCUGGACUACGAAGCAAGAUUUGGCGUUACCGAGUUUUCGAAAAUGAGACAAACUCCCAAAUAUCUAGACUGAAAACUCAACUAUACCUUGAGGAAGAAAAGAAAAGAACACAAAGAAAAACAAGAAAACACUUUCUGAACAACUGAAAGAAACCCCGACUGUCUACUGCCCCAUCAGGAUGAACAAGAUAACACCUCAGAUCUAGACCCCUGUUCCUACAGAGAGAGUGACUAGUAACUGUUUUUUUUAAAGAAAUAUUUGAGCUGAAGUUAAACUCUAACCGAGGAGUUAGUUAGCAUAUUAGCUAGCUAGCAAGCAGAGUAAGUCAGCCAACAGCAGCAGAACAUAGCAACGGUUGCUAAGCUCAGAAUGACCCAACCAGUCAGGCCUGAGAUAAUUCCCUACCCGCCAGAGGACAGUAGUAAGGAAAGCAGAAAAGAAUUCAAAGACAUUUUUUUGAAGGAAAGACCAGAGCGUCUAUUUGCAGACUACAGAAAACUUAAGGUGUGUAAUCUUAUCUUUUACACCCCAGUGCAAAGUGCAUGGGAGUCAGCCAUCUGCUCACACUACAAGAAAGUCGAUAGAAAAGAGCUCCCCAAUGCACGGCAAUUCAAAAUUAGAGAUUACGAAGGUCCUUACACUGGCCCCAUCACAGUCAACAUCCACCCAACUGGGAUAGUUAUGGUACAAGGUGACCUAAGACAGUUUGAGAAAGACUUCCAGACUAUAAAAGAUGAAGUACAUCAAGCUCCAUCAAGCAGCCCCACAUCUGAAGCUCCAGAAAGAGAAAAUGACCCUCCCAGUCCAGAUCAAGGUCAGAUGCAAAACACAAUGACCCCCCAUAAAGAAAAGUAUACACAACUGGAAAUAGAGCUAAAAAGUGAUCUGAAGAAUGAACUGCCCAGCCUGAAAGAAGAAGUAAGAGAAAUAAAGAUAGAAAGAGAGAGUGAGAGAGAGAGUGAGAGUGAGCGAGAGAGUGAGAGUGAGAGUGAGCGAGAGAGAGAGAGUGAGAGUGAGAGAAAGAAAAAGAGAAAGAGACCAUCUGAAGAAUUAACUGGCCAGCCUGACAGAAGAAGUAGAAGAAAUAAAGAUAGAAAGAGAGAGUGAGAGAGAGAGAGAGAGUGAGAGUGAGAGUGAGAGUGAGCGAGAGAGAGAGAGUGAGAGUGAGAGAAAGAAAAAGAGAAAGAGACCAUCUGAAGAAUUAACUGGCCAGCCUGACAGAAGAAGUAGAAGAAAUAAAGAUAGAAAGAGAGAGUGAGAGAGAGAGAGAAAGCGAGAGAAAGAGAAAGAGAGCAUCUGAAGAAUGAAGUGGCCGACCUGACAGAAGAAGUAAGAGAACUUCAGAGAGAGAGAGAGAGUGAAAGAGAGAGUGAGAGAGAGAGACAAAGAGAGUGAAAGAAAGAGAGAGAGUGAGAGCGAGAGAAAGAGAGAGAGAGAGAGAGCAGGCAGAGCUGAACAUGCUGACAGAGAGACUGCAGAAGAGAGAGAGAGAAGUUGACCAGAGCCGGAGCCAGGGCCAAGGACUGAUAGAGAGAGGUUGUCCCAGACUGACACUUUGUUGAGAUGCUUCGCUGCUGCAACUGUCAAUUAGUCCAACAUAUCCCUGACAUAUAUAUACAUAUAUACUAUAUACUACAUAUACUAUAAAUAUAUAUCAAUAUCUAUAUUACACAGUUAGACAUGAUGAUUCCUUCCCCCUGUUAAUCAGUUUAUAUAGAUGAUGUUUUCUUCUCUUGACUCAGACACAAAUAUUCUGCUGUUUCACACUUCAGUCAUGAAACCUAAUGGACUUUUAUUUCAUGUAUAUUAUAAUCAAUAUAUGUGAUUAUAUAUGAUAUACCCUGUGUCUUCAUAUGUAUUCAUACUUAAGGACUAGUUAUAAUAUUUCAGAAGACAAAAACAUGUUAAUCCAUUUAUGUUGUUUUAUUUUGAGUGAUGAAAUAUGUUCACAGUAAAUAUGUAUUUGAAGAAGAGGGUGGUCUGAGUGUGGACUGGUAGCUGGAGAGGUAUCAGUCAUCCUCCUGGUGUGCUGUGAAUGUUAAUCAAUAUUAAUGCAUGUCUAUAUAUUCCUGUGUGUGUACAUGAAUCAACAAAAAAAGUAUAAGUAUAAAAUUAGAUAUUUUGUCAAGAAGACUAAUAACUUCUUUAUUAUAUUCUCUUGUUGCUCCUGGAAUAACAUCCUGAUUGAUUUGUAGUUUUCUGAGAAUCAUUAAUAAAAUGUCUGCUUGAUGAAACCAGUUUGUUCAGAGUGUCUUCACUGGAUCAGCAGCAGCUUUAUGUGUCUGUUGAACUUUCUGCUCAACUUUCUUCAAUAAACAUGUAUUUCUCUUUUUUAUAUUAAUAUCAUCAGCAGCUUUUUGAGUUUCUUUCUUUCUUCAAGAAACGUCUAUUUCUCUUUGUUAUGCCAUGUUAUGUUAUAUAUUAACAUAUACUGUAUAUUCACAUAUAUGCAUGAUAAAAAUAGAGUUUGAAGAGUAUACACUUGAAAUUAAAGUUCUGAAUAUGUAGAUGUGUUGAAACAUGUUGAAUGUGAAUCAGUCUAAUAAAGUUCAGGUCAAACCCAA